GUUGGCCUGAAUAGGCGGAGGGGCCUCUUUGGCCGAUCCAGAGGCUGCCAGGCCGGGUCCCUUGCGACGAGCGGCCCCGGGCCUUACUGAAGGGAAUCUUUGCGCCUGGCCCCAUUAACGCCCUCACUUUCUUGCUUUGUCAGCCCGUCUUCCUCUCGGCCAGCUUAGACGAGAGACCUCAUUCUCCCGGUACCCCAUCCCUCCUGUGGGAAUCCGGCGUGUACUUAUUUUGAUCGGGGUCCGGGCUGACUGCUCUGACGGAAAGAUUCUCUUAAUUUAGGUCUUGUAAAUCCAGCCGUGAACACUACGGCGGAGUUGCAGUACUCCACAGUUUAACCAUUAGGCCCGAGGGAAUGUUCUCUCCCCCUUCCUCCCUCCCUUCUCUGUCUCUCUCACUCUCUCACAAAUACAACUUUUAGAGUCUUCUGAGAACUGUGCUGCAUUAGAUUAUCUUUGAAAUAAUUCUUAAGUUAGCGCCUUAAGGCAGCUUGCUGGGAGGUUCAAAGAGAAGGCUUGUACACUUUUUCCUCCACCUGUAUCACCGUUUGCAAUGGAAAACGUUGAGUUGACAGUGAUUUUCCAGAAGAGGUUUCCUCAUCUGUAGCAUGAAUACAUCAGAGAACUAAUAGAAUUAUUAUGAGGAUUUAAUGAGAUAAUACAUGUGACACUGAUGAUAAAAAUCCAUUCAAGAAUUUAGAUGUGACAUCUGCAGCAGGUUCAGAUCUCUCAGCUAUAAGACAAACUGGAUACUUCGUAAAGAUUUUCAUCUAUUAUGCACAGAGCCAAAAUCCGUUACUGAAAUUGUCUGGGUGAGCAGCCUGCUGGGUCCAGUGAUGCGCUAGUAGACAAAGAAGUUGAAAAAGAAGGAUGGCAUAUUCUUUGGAUGACUGGCAGAGUAUGACAUCAGUGUGGCAUCAAGCCCUACUAUGAUUCCAAGGACUUCAUGACUAAAUAAAAAUUGAUUUUUUUUUGGUGGCAGGGUGGGGGUAGUUGAAGUAAAUUUCAUCAUUGCUUUGGGAAUGUUUAAUGUAUUAUCAUUUCAUAAUGAUACAUGGUAAUUACUUUGGUAAUCAAACUGAAGAUUCUGUUUAUGGAACUUACAUAGUUAUCACCUUUUAGUAUUGGGUUCUUUCACUUUAAGGGAAAUAGAAUAAAGAAAAACAUCUACUUACGCUAAAAGAUUUUACCUAAGAAGGCUAAUUUAAAGACUAUCAUUGUUAUAAGAAAGUUUUUGCUUUGGGGCAUUCUUGAAAUUUUGCUCUCUCCCAGCAUGUAUAAAAUAUGUUUCUGUUUGCAAAAA